UGGUAGCUCAGUCGGGUAAGCGCCCGCUUCUCAAUCAAGAGAUGCGGGUUCGAAUCCCGGCGCUGACAA
rnacentral:tRNA from 1 species